GGAAUAUGAAGUGCUUUGUGUUCUUCAUAAUAACUUGGGUCGUGGUGGCGUCAUUCCCUCUCGACAAACAAGCUCAGGAUGAAGAUCAAGGCAAAGACAAAGAUCCUGUAACACGACUGAACGAUCCACAGUACCUUCCAUACAUCACAUAUUAUAUCCCGUAUGGCCGCCGAGAUUACAUGUCGUUUGGCCAUACCGGUGGUAAUGUUGGCCAACAAGGAACUAACUCGGGGAAUGUUGCUGUCGGACAUCAAUGGAACGCUGGAUAUUAUGGCCGACGAGAAACACGACUGAACGACCCACAGUUCUAUCCGGCCAUUCCAUACAUCCCAUACAUCCAUUAUCGCAAACGUCAGACUUCGUCUCAAAGCACAAGAAUUGUAGGAGGAAAAUAAAUGCAGAUUCCUCUCCUGGACAUGCAGGAAGAAUUAAUUGUAAAAGAGUGAGACAAUAAAGAGUGACUUCCUGUAAAUACUACGGAUAGGUGUGCAAAAUGCAAAAAUCGAAUUCCCUCAAACUUUUUCACAAGAAAGCCCUCUGGAAACUAUU